CUGAUUUUGGAACCACCAAUUGUUCUAGAAGAUAAGCCAGUUGCUCAGACCUCACACAUAGACUUGAAUUGAGAAACGUGCUUUGUCAAGUGUCUUUCUGAAGAUGUGAAGUUUGUCUUUGUAUGGCAGGAAUUCCCCUUUCACAAAAUUGUAUGUGUUUGUGUCUGAGAGAGAGAAAUUGAGACAGACAGAAAGACGGAGACAGAAGAGCACCCCCUCAGAAGAGAGCUAGUUAAGUCCUACAGGGACAAGGAUCCUUAUUUGUUCACUGACGGACCUCAGGUGGCUUGACCUGUACCCGUGGCACAGCAGUCAAUACAAAUUGGCCGGAUGGAAGGAGGGAUCGUUCCUUACAUUCACAGAUCCCUCCCUUCUCUCUGCACUUCCUGUCCAUCUGUCUCCCUCCACUUUUCUCCUCCUCCCCUCCUCCUCCCAUCUUCUCCCUCCCUCACUUCCGCAGCUUCUCUCACAGA